UGGGGAAUAUUGGACAAUGCGCGCAAGCCUGAUCCAGCAAUGCCGCGUGUGUGAAGAAGGCCUUCGGGUUGUAAAGCACUUUUAUCUGGAGCGAAAUCUGCAGGGCUAAUACCCAUGCAGUCUGACGGUACCAGAGGAAUAAGCACCGGCUAACUUCGUGCCAGCAGCCGCGGUAAUACGAAGGGUGCAAGCGUUACUCGGAAUUACUGGGCGUAAAGCGUGCGUAGGUGGUGGUUUAAGUCAGAUGUGAAAGCCCUGGGCUCAACCUGGGAACUGCAUUUGAUACGGGAUCACUAGAGUGCGGUAGAGGGUAGUGGAAUUCCCGGUGUAGCAGUGAAAUGCGUAGAGAUCGGGAGGAACACCAGUGGCGAAGGCGGCUACCGGGACCAGCACUGACACUGAGUCACGAAAGCGUGGGGAGCAAACC
rnacentral:rRNA from 1 species